UACGUAGGGUGCAAGCGUUGUCCGGAAUUACUGGGCGUAAAGCGUGCGCAGGCGGUGAUGUAAGACCGAUGUGAAAUCCCCGGGCUUAACCUGGGAACUGCAUUGGUGACUGCAUUGCUGGAGUAUGGCAGAGGGGGGUGGAAUUCCACGUGUAGCAGUGAAAUGCGUAGAGAUGUGGAGGAACACCGAUGGCGAAGGCAGCCCCCUGGGCCAAUACUGACGCUCAUGCACGAAAGCGUGGGGAGCAAACAGG
rnacentral:rRNA from 1 species